rnacentral:rRNA from 2 species
CGACCCCAGGUCAGGCGGGACUACCCGCUGAGUUUAAGC